rnacentral:rRNA from 1 species
UAAUACGGAGGGUGCAAGCGUUAUCCGGAUUCACUGGGUUUAAAGGGUGCGUAGGUGGGCAAGUAAGUCAGUGGUGAAAUCUCCGGGCUUAACCCGGAAACUGCCAUUGAUACUAUUUGUCUUGAAUUCUGUGGAGGUGAGCGGAAUAUGUCAUGUAGCGGUGAAAUGCUUAGAUAUGACAUAGAACACCGAUUGCGAAGGCAGCUCACUACACAGCGAUUGACACUGAGGCACGAAAGCGUGGGGAUCAAACAGGAUUAGAUACCCUGGUAGUCCACGCCCUAAACGAUGAUUACUCGACAUACGCGAUAUACUGUGUGUGUCUGAGCGAAAGCAUUAAGUAAUCCACCUGGGAAGUACGACCGCAAGGUUG